rnacentral:rRNA from 1 species
UACGGGGGGGGCAAGCGUUGUUCGGAAUUACUGGGCGUAAAGGGCGCGUAGGCGGCCUGCUAAGUCGGAUGUGAAAUCCCUCGGCUCAACCGAGGAACUGCAUCCGAUACUGGCGGGCUUGAAUCCGGGAGAGGGAUGUGGAAUUCCAGGUGUAGCGGUGAAAUGCGUAGAUAUUAGGAAGAACACCGGUGGCGAAGGCGGCCCAACUGGAUCGGUACUGACGCUGAGGUGCGAAAGCGUGGGGAGCAAACAGG